rnacentral:rRNA from 1 species
AGUGAACGCUGGCGGUAGGCCUAACACAUGCAAGUCGAACGGCAGCACAGUAAGCGCUUGCUCUUACGGGUGGCGAGUGGCGGACGGGUGAGGCAUACAUCGGAAUCUACUUUUUCGUGGGGGAUAACGUAGGGAAACUUACGCUAAUACCGAAUAUGAUCUACGGGUGAAAGCAGGGGAUCUUCGGGCUUUGCCUGAUUGAAUGAGCCGAUGUCGGAUUAGCUAGUUGGCGGGGUAAAGGCCCACCAAGGCGACGAUCCGUAGCAGAUCUGAGAGGGUGAUCAGCCACACUGGAACUGAGACACGGUCCAGACUCCUACGGGAGGCAGCAGUGGGGAAUAUUAGGCAAAGGGCGAAAGCCUGAUCCAGCAAUACCGCGUGAGUGAUGAAGGCCUUCGGGUCGUAAAGCCCUGUUAUUAGGAAAGAAAAGCAGCAGGUUAAUACCCCGCUAUUCUGACGGUACCCAAAGAAUAAGCACCGGCUAACUUCGUG